GGGUUGUGAGGUUAAGCGACUAAGCGUACACGGUGGAUGCCCUGGCAGUCAGAGGCGAUGAAGGGCGUGCUAAUCUGCGAUAAGCGCCGGUAAGGUGAUAUGAACCGUUAUAACCGGCGAUACCCGAAUGGGGAAACCCAGUGUGAUUCGUCACACUAUCAUUAACUGAAUCCAUAGGUUAAUGAGGCGAACCGGGGGAACUGAAACAUCUAAGUACCCCGAGGAAAAGAAAUCAACCGAGAUUCCCCCAGUAGCGGCGAGCGAACGGGGAGGAGCCCAGAGCCUGAAUCAGCAUGUGUGUUAGUGGAAGCGUCUGGAAAGGCGCGCGAUACAGGGUGACAGCCCCGUACACAAAAGCGCAUGUGCUGUGAGCUCGAUGAGUAGGGCGGGACACGUGGUAUCCUGUCUGAAUAUGGGGGGACCAUCCUCCAAGGCUAAAUACUCCUGACUGACCGAUAGUGAACCAGUACCGUGAGGGAAAGGCGAAAAGAACCCCGGCGAGGGGAGUGAAAAAGAACCUGAAACCGUGUACGUACAAGCAGUGGGAGCCCCACCACCAAAGCAUUCUCUGGUGUUGAAGGCCCUGCAAAGCAGCAUCGCGGUGGCGGAGCGUCGUUUGCGACGCCCAACACACAAAACAAGCGGUGAGUGCUUUGGGGUGGGGUGACUGCGUACCUUUUGUAUAAUGGGUCAGCGACUUAUAUUCUGUAGCAAGGUUAACCGUAUAGGGGAGCCGGAGGGAAACCGAGUCUUAACCGGGCGUUAAGUUGCAGGGUAUAGACCCGAAACCCGGUGAUCUAGCCAUGGGCAGGUUGAAGGUUGGGUAACACUAACUGGAGGACCGAACCGACUAAUGUUGAAAAAUUAGCGGAUGACCUGUGGCUGGGGGUGAAAGGCCAAUCAAACCGGGAGAUAGCUGGUUCUCCCCGAAAGCUAUUUAGGUAGCGCCUCGUGAAUUCAUCUCCGGGGGUAGAGCACUGUUUCGGCUAGGGGGCCAUCCCGGCUUACCAACCCGAUGCAAACUGCGAAUACCGGAGAAUGUUAUCACGGGAGACACACGGCGGGUGCUAACGUCCGUCGUGAAGAGGGAAACAACCCAGACCGCCAGCUAAGGUCCCAAAGUCAUGGUUAAGUGGGAAACGAUGUGGGAAGGCCCAGACAGCCAGGAUGUUGGCUUAGAAGCAGCCAUCAUUUAAAGAAAGCGUAAUAGCUCACUGGUCGAGUCGGCCUGCGCGGAAGAUGUAACGGGGCUAAACCAUGCACCGAAGCUGCGGCAGCGAACGUAUCACCCAAGACAACUUUACGGAGUUGACGAUUGACGGAGCGAAGCGACGUCAAAGCGUUCAUUAAAGUCGAGUUGGCUUAGGGAUACGUUCGUUGGGUAGGGGAGCGUUCUGUAAGCCUGUGAAGGUGUGUCGUGAGGCAUGCUGGAGGUAUCAGAAGUGCGAAUGCUGACAUAAGUAACGAUAAAGCGGGUGAAAAGCCCGCUCGCCGGAAGACCAAGGGUUCCUGUCCAACGUUAAUCGGGGCAGGGUGAGUCGACCCCUAAGGCGAGGCCGAAAGGCGUAGUCGAUGGGAAACGGGUUAAUAUUCCCGUACUUGGUGUUACUGCGAAGGGGGGACGGAGAAGGCUAUGUUGGCCGGGCGACGGUUGUCCCGGUUUAAGCGUGUAGGUGUGUGUUCCAGGUAAAUCCGGUUCACUUUAACACUGAGGCGUGAUGACGAGGCACUACGGUGCUGAAGCAACAAAUGCCCUGCUUCCAGGAAAAGCCUCUAAGCAUCAGGUAACAUCAAAUCGUACCCCAAACCGACACAGGUGGUCAGGUAGAGAAUACCAAGGCGCUUGAGAGAACUCGGGUGAAGGAACUAGGCAAAAUGGUGCCGUAACUUCGGGAGAAGGCACGCUGACACGUAGGUGAAGUGAUUUACUCACGGAGCUGAAGUCAGUCGAAGAUACCAGCUGGCUGCAACUGUUUAUUAAAAACACAGCACUGUGCAAACACGAAAGUGGACGUAUACGGUGUGACGCCUGCCCGGUGCCGGAAGGUUAAUUGAUGGGGUCAGCGCAAGCGAAGCUCCUGAUCGAAGCCCCGGUAAACGGCGGCCGUAACUAUAACGGUCCUAAGGUAGCGAAAUUCCUUGUCGGGUAAGUUCCGACCUGCACGAAUGGCGUAAUGAUGGCCAGGCUGUCUCCACCCGAGACUCAGUGAAAUUGAACUCGCUGUGAAGAUGCAGUGUACCCGCGGCAAGACGGAAAGACCCCGUGAACCUUUACUAUAGCUUGACACUGAACAUUGAGCCUUGAUGUGUAGGAUAGGUGGGAGGCUUUGAAGCGUGGACGCCAGUCUGCGUGGAGCCGACCUUGAAAUACCACCCUUUAAUGUUUGAUGUUCUAACGUGGACCCGUAAUCCGGGUUGCGGACAGUGUCUGGUGGGUAGUUUGACUGGGGCGGUCUCCUCCUAAAGAGUAACGGAGGAGCACGAAGGUUGGCUAAUCCUGGUCGGACAUCAGGAGGUUAGUGCAAUGGCAUAAGCCAGCUUGACUGCGAGCGUGACGGCGCGAGCAGGUGCGAAAGCAGGUCAUAGUGAUCCGGUGGUUCUGAAUGGAAGGGCCAUCGCUCAACGGAUAAAAGGUACUCCGGGGAUAACAGGCUGAUACCGCCCAAGAGUUCAUAUCGACGGCGGUGUUUGGCACCUCGAUGUCGGCUCAUCACAUCCUGGGGCUGAAGUAGGUCCCAAGGGUAUGGCUGUUCGCCAUUUAAAGUGGUACGCGAGCUGGGUUUAGAACGUCGUGAGACAGUUCGGUCCCUAUCUGCCGUGGGCGCUGGAGAACUGAGGGGGGCUGCUCCUAGUACGAGAGGACCGGAGUGGACGCAUCACUGGUGUUCGGGUUGUCAUGCCAAUGGCACUGCCCGGUAGCUAAAUGCGGAAGAGAUAAGUGCUGAAAGCAUCUAAGCACGAAACUUGCCCCGAGAUGAGUUCUCCCUGAGACUUAGAGUCUCCUGAAGGAACGUUGAAGACGACGACGUUGAUAGGCCGGGUGUGUAAGCGCAGCGAUGCGUUGAGCUAACCGGUACUAAUGAACCGUGAGGCUUAACCUUACAACGCCGAAG
rnacentral:rRNA from 1 species